rfam:Azospirillum sp. B510 plasmid pAB510b DNA, complete genome.
GGCGUAUUUUGCUCAGGCGGAGCUCGACCGCCCGUUCAAGAAAUGAUCGCCUUCAUCGACGAGCAUCGCGCCGUCCACGGGGUCGAGCCGACCUGCAAAGUGCUGCCGAUCGCCCCG